GACGGAGGGAGCUAGCGUUACUCGGAAUCACUGGGCGUAAAGGGCGUGUAGGCGGAUUGGAAAGUCGGGCGUGAAAUACCUCGGCUCAACCGAGGAAUUGCGUCCGAAACUUCCUUUCUUGAGUGUGGGAGGGGAGAGUGGAACUCCUGGUGGAGCGGUGAAAUGCGUAGAUAUCAGGAGGAACGCCGGUGGCGAAAGCGGCUCUCUGGUCCACUACUGACGCUGAGGCGCGAAAGCCAGGGGAGCAAACGGG
rnacentral:rRNA from 1 species